rnacentral:rRNA from 1 species
GCCUAACCAUAACACAACAAUUAAACCACCAAUUGUUCGCCAAAUAACUACGAGUAAAAACUUAAAAUUUAAAAGACUUGACGGUAUCUCACAACAGCCUAGAGGAGCCUGUCCAAUAACCGAUACCCCGCGAUUAACCCAACCCCCUCUAGCCUAACAGUCUAUAUACCGCCGUCGCCAGCCUACCUUAUGAAAGAAACAAAGUGAGCAAAAUAGUCAUUACUAACACGACAGGUCGAGGUGUAACUCAUGAAGGGGUUAAGAUGGGCUACAUUUUCUAACACAGAAAACACGAACAAACUAUGAAACAAGAAACCGAAGGCGGAUUUAGCAGUAUAAUAAGGACAAAACACUUAAUCGAAACUAACGCAAUGAGAUGCGUACACACCGCCCGUCAUCCCUGUUAAAUAACCAAUAACAUCCAUAAACACAACCACUUCCACAAAGCAGGGCAAGUCGUAACAUGGUAAGCGUACUGGAAAGUGCGCUUAGAAA